UGGAUAGCCUAUACUCACAGGAGGAGGCAAAGUAUAGGAAAGGGUGUACAGAGAAGCAGUGAAAAAGAAACUGACAACCCCAACCAGAGAUGAUCCUGAAGAUCCUUCCAGGGUGGGAUGUCCUGGCCAGGGACACAGUGUGAUGUCGCCAGCAGGGAACAACCAGCUUCCGUGGCUGCACCCGCCGAAGAACACAGUUUGACCCGGGCCUCUGCACUGGUGCACACAUCCUUCAUUGUAAAGACAUGGAAAGAAGGAAAUGAAACACUUGAUGUGCCAGGAAGGAAAGCUCUCUCGUUGUCCCAUCUGAGAACACAAAGUUUAUAAAUAGAAUCAUCCCCAGCAUCAAACAUGAGGACAUCAAACACACAGGCAUACUGGCCUCGCCUGUUUAUCCCAGACUCUACACACCAUCCAGUCCCUUCUGGAGAAGACCGGAACCCGCCGUGGGCAUCCAGCAGCCUUAUGCCCUUUCCCUUGUCCGUCUUUGAUUUUCUCUUUCCCUUACGGCUUGAAAAU
rnacentral:lncRNA from 1 species